rnacentral:rRNA from 1 species
UACGUAGGGGGCAAGCGUUGUCCGGAUUUAUUGGGCGUAAAGAGCGUGUAGGCGGUCCGGUAAGUCCGCUGUGAAAGUCGGGGGCUCAACCCUCGAAUGCCGGUGGAUACUGUCGGGCUAGAGUGCGGAAGAGGCGAGUGGAAUUCCUGGUGUAGCGGUGAAAUGCGCAGAUAUCAGGAGGAACACCGAUGGCGAAGGCAGCUCGCUGGGACGG